GAUGAACGCUGGCGGUAUGCUUAACACAUGCAAGUCGAACGGGAUAUCUUCGGAUAUUUAGUGGCGGACGGGUGAGUAACGCGUGAGAACAUGCCCUUACGGUUCGGGACAACAGUUGGAACGACUGCUAAUACCGAAUGUGCCGAGAGGUGAAAGAUUAAUUGCCUAGGGAUUGGCUCGCGUCAGAUUAGCUAGUUGGUAGAGUAACGGUUUACCAAGGCGACGAUCGUAACUGGUCUGAGAGGAUGACCAGUCACACUGGGACUGAGACACGGCCCAGACUCCUACGGGAGGCANCAGUGGGGUAAGUUUUUCCGCAAUGGGCGGAAAGCCUGACGGAGCAAUACCGCGUGAGGGAGGACGGCUCUUGGUUGUAACCUCUUUUAUCAGGGAAGAAGAUCUGACGGUA
rnacentral:rRNA from 1 species